CCUACGGGUGGCAGCAGUAGGGAAUCUUUCACAAUGGGCGAAAGCCUGAUGGAGCAACGCCGCGUGCAGGAUGAAGGCCUUCGGGUUGUAAACUGCUUUUAUAAGCGAGAAAUAUGAUGGUAACUUAUGAAUAAGGAUCGGAUAACUACGUGCCAGCAGCCGCGGUCAUACGUAGGAUCCGAGCGUUAUCCGGAGUGACUGGGUGUAAAGAGUUGCGUAGGUGGCAUAAUAAGUAGCUAGUGAAAUCUGGUGGCUCAACCAUUCAGACUAUUAGCUAAACUGUUAAGCUCGAGACCGUUAGGGGUAACUGGAAUUUCUAGUGUAGGAGUGAAAUCCGUAGAUAUUAGAAGGAACACCAAUAGCGUAGGCAGGUUGCUGGGACGGUUCUGACACUAAGGCACGAAAGCGUAGGGAGCAAACGGGAUUAGAUACCCCAGUAGUC
rnacentral:rRNA from 1 species